AUGAUGUGUACUGGGGAGUGUUGGGUUUAGAGCUGAAACUGGAGCGGUCCCCACGAGGAGGUGAGCACUGUCACACAGGUUCAGAGCGCUUCUUCCUUCCUGCACCCCAGGUUUACAACCUUCACUUCUCAAAACAUGAACUGUAAGGGUCCUACUUUGCACUUUUUAAGGACUCAAAGCUCCCACUUAUUUCAAAGUUGGAGUUCUCCCUCAGCCAAGAAUGCAGAAACAGGAACUCGGCAUCUUGACCAUUUAGGCUGAAAAUGGAAAGAUUUUCAGCCAAGUGCAGCUCUGUCUUCCCCUUUCUCCUUCUCUAACAGUCACUGAUGAAAGCACAACCCCUCCAUUAGAGGACACCAACUCUCAAGUAUGGAGGAGAGGCAGCUCGUUUCUUAUUCAUGUUAAGGAUGAACAUGCAGAGCCAAGUUCAUGUGAUGAGGGAAGCUCCUCCAUGUUCCAAUGAGAUUUAAAACUCCAGUGAGCACCUCUGAACUCUCAUUCAAAUUGUCACAGCUUGGGAGCAGCACAUAAAUCAUUAUAAUAAGGCAUCUCCUACUCUCAUAGCAGCCAGUUAACUGGAGCACUGGUGCCUGGUGCCACUUCCUCAGCUAAGGAGAGGCCAGCCAAAAAGUCCCUGCAACCUAGCAGAAAAACUCCUGGCUUUUUAAAAAUGCAAACAGUGGAAAGCCUUUUGACACACUUUUCUAUUAAAUAAAUGUUAACAUACUUGCUGUUGGUUAGCAAACAGUUUAAUGAAAUGUUUGCACAGAGGGACUGUGUCUUCUUGAUCUGAAUCCCAAGUUUCCCUGUCUUAAGUUUCCAAAUGUGCAUGCUAACAGAACUUGUUCCAACCGUCCCUUCCUCUUCAAACAAAACAAAACCCGCUCUGUGAACGUCUCAUUUACAAGACAUGUAAGAGGUACAGGAAAGCUUCGUUUGACCAAAGAUUUAUUUGCAGUGCAGGCAAAAAACCAACGUCCUCUUAAACACUGCUGUGCUAACUCUUUGUUCUGAAUAACCACCUUCCCAGGCCAGGGGAAUUAUUUAACCCCUUUUUUUUUUUUUUUUCCCCCUGUGUUUAGCAUUCCCCAGACUUAGUCACGCUGCAGCACAGGAGUUAGCUCACGCUCUCCAGCUUUCUUAUACCCUCUUUCCAGGAACACUGGGGACAAAUCGCGAGGAUUUCGCCCUCUCUCCGUGCAGGCUCUGCAGCCUGGCAGCCCCACGCACCCGCAGAAGCAACAUGCACACACACACCCCGCCAACCCCCCGUUUUUUAAGAAAAGAGCAACUCUGCCUCUUUUGCGAGGAGCUACUUCUCAGCACGGGGGUCGAAGAGAGACACGCAUAAAUAAGGCGUAACAGUAAUUCAUCAGCUGUUCAUGUGUCUGAAGACAAGUGGAAGAGUGGAGUAUAUUCUUCAAGGUGAUGAAGUCUGAAAAUCUUUGGGAUUGUAUUGGUGUGUAUCAGAAGAGCUCAGGUUAGGUCUAGCUGAAAGAGAAGGCCACCUUCCUUUCUGCUCUAGCGCUAACACAGUGGGGUAACACUGUACACUGUAUAUAUACAGGCAUCUCCUCACUUGGGGUGAACUUUUAUAUCAUGCUGCUUUCAAAACUGAAACAAUAAUGCAGGGGAAAUGCUGAGAGAAGAUAAAUAAAAUGGGGCAAAGGGAGUUAGGGGAUGGAAGGAAUGACAGAGAGCAACCCUCUCCCUUCACCACGGUCUUACACCUCUUACACUAGUGUAACAUAUUUCAAACUGUGGCAUGAAUGUUUUUAUCAAGCUGAAAUUUGAUUCCCACCAUCAGAAAGACCUAUUUUUCUUUCUCAUCUUUUAUAACAUUCCCCAAACUUUGUGGUGCACCAUUUUGAAGUCCUGUUAAUACAGGGAGAUAUUUGCAAUGUCACCAAA